AUGCGGGAGAAGAAGAAGCGUCUCACCGGAGCAGCUUGUUUUUCCUCCUCUACCUGUCCCAAGAAUAGAUGGGAUAACCAUGGCAAAGCAGUUGUGUUUCUUUUUAAUAUAUGAAAGAGUACUAAGUCUGCCAGUUGAUGAACAGCCCCUUGGUCAGCUUUCCAGAAGAGGGUGAAAUCAUGCCAAACAGGAAGGCAAGAUAAUUCCAACCACUACUGAGAGAUCCCCCACAGAAGGUUCUCUGAAAUGAAGAAGAACGUGUAAAAGAGCACAGGUGGUCACCACUAACAUGGAUGUAAGUCCUUAAGAGGUAAAUUAUUUCUUGCCAAAUAAAAUGGCUACUUGGUUUCUUUUCUGUUCCUCUGGCCUUUUCAAACCAGUCACAGAAGACAUCUAUCAUGGUUAAACUUUUAUCUGACCAUUUUGAUUACUGUUUUGCCGAUUGAAAGGUAAUUUUCCAGUUUACAAGGAACUGCAAUCUAUUUGUUCUCUCAAGAGAAAAGAGAUACUUCUCCAAGGUAAGUAAAAAUACACUUUUGUCUUGCAUGGGGACAUAGUUGUGCAGAGAACCGGAAGUUGCGCCUGGGGCAAUCUUUAUUUGGCUUCAAGAGGAAAUUGCUUGGCUUCAAAAGCAUAAAGCAAUUCAUAGUUUUCCACAAGCUUAAGAAAUAAAAAAACUCAUAACAAAAAGUCUGGCGUGAGUAGAGUUGCAAUGCCCGAAAUCUGGUUUCACCCAGAUUUUAAGCAUCUCACCCAGAUUUUAAGCAUCUCACCCAGAUUGCUUCUUCUUCUUCUUCUUCUUCUUCUUCUUCUUCUUCUUCUUCUUCUUAUUAUUAUUAUUAUUAUUAUUAUUAUUA